AGUGGCGACGGGUGAGUAACACGUGGGCAAUCUGCCCUUCACUCUGGGACAAGCCCUGGAAACGGGGUCUAAUACCGGAUAACACUCUGUCCCGCAUGGGACGGGGUUAAAAGCUCCGGCGGUGAAGGAUGAGCCCGCGGCCUAUCAGCUUGUUGGUGGGGUAAUGGCCUACCAAGGCGACGACGGGUAGCCGGCCUGAGAGGGCGACCGGCCACACUGGGACUGAGACACGGCCCAGACUCCUACGGGAGGCAGCAGUGGGGAAUAUUGCACAAUGGGCGAAAGCCUGAUGCAGCGACGCCGCGUGAGGGAUGACGGCCUUCGGGUUGUAAACCUCUUUCAGCAGGGAAGAAGCGAAAGUGACGGUACCUGCAGAAGAAGCGCCGGCUAACUACGUGCCAGCAGCCGCGGUAAUACGUAGGGCGCAAGCGUUGUCCGGAAUUAUUGGGCGUAAAGAGCUCGUAGGCGGCUUGUCACGUCGGAUGUGAAAGCCCGGGGCUUAACCCCGGGUCUGCAUUCGAUACGGGCUAGCUAGAGUGUGGUAGGGGAGAUCGGAAUUCCUGGUGUAGCGGUGAAAUGCGCAGAUAUCAGGAGGAACACCGGUGGCGAAGGCGGAUCUCUGGGCCAUUACUGACGCUGAGGAGCGAAAGCGUGGGGAGCGAACAGGAUUAGAUACCCUGGUAGUCCACGCCGUAAACGUUGGGAACUAGGUGUUGGCGACAUUCCACGUCGUCGGUGCCGCAGCUAACGCAUUAAGUUCCCCGCCUGGGGAGUACGGCCGCAAGGCUAAACUCAAAGGAAUUGACGGGGGCCCGCACAGCAGCGGAGCAUGUGGCUUAUUCGACGC
rnacentral:rRNA from 1 species